rnacentral:rRNA from 1 species
AGUGGCGCACGGGUGAGUAACACGUGACUAACCUACCCUGGAGUGGGGGAUAACUGAGGGAAACCUUAGCUAAUACCGCAUAACACCUACGGGUCAAAGGAGCAAUUCGCUUCAGGAGGGGGUCGCGGCCGAUUAGUUAGUUGGCAGGGUAAUGGCCUACCAAGACGAUGAUCGGUAUCCGGCCUGAGAGGGCGCACGGACACACUGGAACUGAAACACGGUCCAGACUCCUACGGGAGGCAGCAGUGGGGAAUUUUGCGCAAUGGGGGAAACCCUGACGCAGCAACGCCGCGUGGAGGAUGAAGUCCUUCGGGACGUAAACUCCUUUCGAUCGGGACGAUUAUGACGGUACCGGAAGAAGAAGCCCCGGCUAACUUCGUGCCAGCAGCCGCGGUAAUACGAGGGGGGCAAGCGUUGUUCGGAAUUAUUGGGCGUAAAGGGUGCGUAGGCGGUCUGGUAAGUCUUAUGUGAAAUCUUCGGGCUCAACUCGAAGUCUGCAUAAGAAACUGCCAGGCUUGAGUAUGGGAGAGGUGAGUGGAAUUCCUGGUGUAGCGGUGAAAUGCGUAGAUAUCAGGAGGAACACCUGUGGCGAAAGCGGCUCACUGGACCAUAACUGACGCUGAUGCACGAAAGCUAGGGGAGCAAACAGGAUUAGAUACCCUGGUAGUCCUAGCCCUAAACGAUCAGGACUUGGGGUGCCACCCGUUCGGGUGUCGUCCCGGAGCUAACGCGUUAAGUCCUGCACCUGGGGAGUACGGUCGCAAGACUGAAACUCAAAGGAAUUGACGGGGGCCCGCACAAGCGGUGGAACAUGUGGUUCAAUUCGA